rnacentral:rRNA from 1 species
CUAACGGCUGAACCAGCAACUUGGAGGAAUGUAUAGCUACGGCUAAUUGUGUAUAACUACACGAUAUCGACUCUGUCGAAUAAAAUUCUGGGUAAAUUAUGAUGAUGACAUUUUUUACCUAUGUGUCUUGACCAAAUUGUGUGCCAGCAGUCGCGGUAAUACAUAGAAGACUAGUGUUAUUCAUCUUUAAUAGGUUUAAAGGGUACCUAGACGGUAGAUCAAGCCCUAUACGGGACUAAUUUGCUAGAGUUACUUAUGAGGGGGCUUUAAAGUACUAAUGGUGUAGAGAUAAAAUUUUGUAAUACCAUUUUUCGUAAAGAAAAAUUAUGGCACUGGUAAAGGUGAAAGCAUCCCCCUAUGUGA